rnacentral:rRNA from 1 species
AUUGAACGCUGGCGGCAUGCCUUACACAUGCAAGUCGAACGGCAGCGGGGACUUCGGUCCGCCGGCGAGUGGCGAACGGGUGAGUAAUGUAUCGGAACGUACAUUUCAGUGGGGGAUAACGUAGCGAAAGUUACGCUAAUACCGCAUAUUCUCUGAGGAGGAAAGCAGGGGACCUUCGGGCCUUGUGCUGAUGGAGCGGCCGAUAUCAGAUUAGCUAGUUGGUGAGGUAAAGGCUCACCAAGGAGACGAUCUGUAGCGGGUCUGAGAGGAUGAUCCGCCACACUGGGACUGAGACACGGCCCAGACUCCUACGGGAGGCAGCAGUGGGGAAUUUUGGACAAUGGGCGCAAGCCUGAUCCAGCCAUGCCGCGUGAGUGAAGAAGGCCUUCGGGUUGUAAAGCUCUUUCGGACGGGAAGAAAUUGGUGGGGCUAAUAUCCCCAUCGGAUGACGGUACCGUAAUAAGAAGCACCGGCUAACUACGUGCCAGCCGCCGCCGUAAUAC